rnacentral:rRNA from 1 species
UACGUAGGGGGCAAGCGUUGUCCGGAAUCAUUGGGCGUAAAGAGCGCGUAGGCGGCCCGAUAAGUCCGCUGUGAAAGUCAAGGGCUCAACCCUUGAAUGCCGGUGGAUACUGUCGGGCUAGAGUCCGGAAGAGGCGAGUGGAAUUCCUGGUGUAGCGGUGAAAUGCGCAGAUAUCAGGAGGAACACCAAUGGCGAAGGCAGCUCGCUGGGACGUAACUGACGCUGAGACGCGAAAGCGUGGGGAGCAAACAGG